GCAGCUGCUUCGGGCCCCCCAGGAGUAACUAUUGUUGUUAGGAUAACAUGAAAUGUCUUAAAGGGAUCCUACAGUGCCAGGAAAACAAAGCCGUUUUCCUGGCACUAUAGGUUUAACCCCUUAAGGAUGGUGGGCGUUCUAUGCCAUCCUUGAAGGGGUGGAUCUAUGGGCGAUCGGUGUUCCUCCCAGUCUGGGGGGACUGUAUGACAGCCCAGACAGUCCCACCUCUGCAAAUUAGGCCCCAUGGGCCAUAUGAUCACUCUGAAAGAGCGGUCACAUGGCCGCAAUAGGCAUCCAAAGUGAUGCU